UUUAGCCUUACAAAAAUGAACCAUGGUUUUACUAUAGUUAAAAAACAAUGGUUACCAUAAAUACAUGGUUACUGUAAGUGGUACUCAAUGCACUAAAAAACAUGGUUACUACAAAACAAAAUGUCUGCCAAACGCAAACAAAAUCUAUAGACAUAUAUACAUUAUAUUGUUAAAUACAAAAAAUAUUUUACAUUUGUUUUUAAUGAAUAUUUAUUACUUUAAUCGUCCCAAUUGCGGUGACGUCACCGUCGCCCCUCCCCCUCGUCCAUUCGUCGUGUUGACGUCACCGGCGCUCAUGAAACUCGCGGGCCACCUGUCGGUGGAGAGUGAACGUCGCCUUUAAGAAGCUCGCGGCGCAGGAUGAGAAGUGGAGCUGUCCGCGGCACAUGGUGCUGAAACACGCUGAGACGUUCAGAGAAGAGCUGCUUAUGAUGGACAUCAUCAAAACGGGGCUCUGCUGGGAGGGGAAACGUCGCUUUCACAGCGUGCAGCUUUCCCAUUUUCUCACUGUAAUAACCGUGUUGAUGAAAUGUCAUCCGUCUGUUUGGCGUGGGAGUGAGUGCCACAGACAUCACCGGACCAAGCAACAGGGUUUAUUUCAGGGUCAUAUCUGGUGUGCUACACGGAAGGAGGCCUUAAUGAGGAGAUGUGUCACAGGAGAAGUCAUUGACGCUUCGAGCCUCACAGCGGCGGUGACACCCAGAUGAGGAGAACCGAUCUCACCUGUCCUCAGUCAGAUGGAGAAGUUGUGAAGGCCGUCUGAUGUUGGAAACUGCUGUUAUGAAGUAAUUACUUGUUGGUGUAUCUCAUAAAAAAGAAAAGCUUUGGAAAAAUCCUCCUCUGCUUUUCAUAUAUUGAAAAAAGUCAGGUUUUGAAAAAGAAUCCAAGCAUUUCUGAUUCUUGUGUUUGCUAAGAUCCGGACUAUUUAUCUGUUUUUUGAGUAUUAUUAGUGUU